rnacentral:rRNA from 1 species
GAUGAACGCUGGCGGCGUGCCUAAUACAUGCAAGUCGAGCGAACGGACGAGAAGCUUGCUUCUCUGAUGUUAGCGGCGGACGGGUGAGUAACACGUGGAUAACCUACCUAUAAGACUGGGAUAACUUCGGGAAACCGGAGCUAAUACCGGAUAAUAUUUUGAACCGCAUGGUUCAAAAGUGAAAGACGGUCUUGCUGUCACUUAUAGAUGGAUCCGCGCUGCAUUAGCUAGUUGGUAAGGUAACGGCUUACCAAGGCAACGAUGCAUAGCCGACCUGAGAGGGUAAUCGGCCACACUGGAACUGAGACACGGUCCAGACUCCUACGGGAGGCAGCAGUAGGGAAUCUGCCGCAAUGGGCGAAAGCCUGACGGAGCAACGCCGCGUGAGGAAUGAAGUUCUUCGGAUCGUAAAACUCUGUUAUUAGGGAAGAACAUAUGUGUAAGUAACUGUGCACAUCUGGACGGUACCUAAUCAGAAAGCCACGGCUAACUACGU